rnacentral:rRNA from 1 species
CAGGACGAACGCUGGCGGCGUGCCUAAUACAUGCAAGUCGAACGGUCUUUCUAUGGAAGCUUGCUUCCACUGAGAAGAUAGUGGCGAACGGGUGAGUAACACGUGGGUAACCUGCCCAUAAGAGGGGGAUAACAUCCGGAAACGGGUGCUAAUACCGCAUAGUUUUCUUGAUCGCAUGAUUGAGAAAGGAAAGACGGCCUUUGUGCUGUCGCUUAUGGAUGGACCCGCGGCGUAUUAGUUAGUUGGUGAGGUAACGGCUCACCAAGACGAUGAUACGUAGCCGACCUGAGAGGGUGAUCGGCCACAUUGGGACUGAGACACGGCCCAAACUCCUACGGGAGGCAGCAGUAGGGAAUCUUCCGCAAUGGACGAAAGUCUGACGGAGCAACGCCGCGUGAGUGAAGAAGGUUUUCGGGAAUCGUAAAAUUCUGUUGUCAGAGAAGAACAAGUUGGAGAGUAACUGCUCCAGCCUUGACGGUAUCUGACCUGAAAGCCACGGCUAACUACGUGCCAGCAGCUGC